rnacentral:lncRNA from 1 species
AUCGAAGUGAUAACACAGUCUGUUUGCAUGUGUUUUAGAUUACAACCCCCACCACGUGUUCGAUAGAAACACAAUCUGUUUGCAACGGAGUUCCCUAAGGAUUUCACAUCAACGGCAGCUCCAAUGACCUUUUUUACUCCAUUCCAGAGAGGUCUGACACGUCUCUUCCUUUUAUUUUACAGCAGGCCUGAUAUGUCAACUCAGUGUCCCUCCUCUUGUGUCGCUCGAUGGAAUCAACCUACAACAUACAGUGUCAGACUAGGUGUCCUGUCUCAAGCGCUUAGCAAGUUAUGACCUGCUAAUCCAUAUUCGGUACAGUGCAUGGUAUAGAUCUCUAGGAGGACAUACGGUAGUGAUAAGAGGGUGUCUGGACGACACCCGGGUUCUAAAAAGCCACUCUCAUAAAUGAAAAGGUGCUAUAACACCCGUGUGUCCCAGCACCCUCUAAUCUGAGCUGUACAGCGAUGGUAAGAUUCAUGUUGUUUGAUGCUGAGCUGCAAACCAUUUACAGUUUGCUAAGUAAGCAGGCUUUGUUAAGUAGGCAAACAGCGGCCGCAGGUGUAACAUGCAGAGCUAGAAUUGAUAGGAGGUUACGUGGGUCCCGAUCGAAGUGACAACAUAGUCUGUUUGCAUGUGUUUAGAUUACCACCCCCACCACUUGUUCGAUAACAACACAGUCUGUUUGCAACGGAGGUCCCUAAGGUUUCACAUCAACGGCAUCUCCAAUGACCUUUCUACUCCAUUUCAGAGAUGUCCGACACGUUUCUUCCUUUUCUUUUACAGCAGGCCUGAUAUGUCAAACUCAGUGUCCCUCCUCUUGUGUUGCUCGAUGGAAUCAACCUACAACAUACAGUGUCAGACUAGGUGUCCUGUCUCAAGCGCUUAGCAAGUUAUGACCUGCUAAUCCAUAUUCGGUACAGUGCAUGGUAUAGAUCUCUAGGAGGACAUACGGUAG